AGAGUUUGAUCAUGGCUCAGAUUGAACGCUGGCGGCAUGCCUUACACAUGCAAGUCGAACGGCAGCACGGGAGCAAUCCUGGUGGCGAGUGGCGAACGGGUGAGUAAUACAUCGGAACGUGCCCAGUUGUGGGGGAUAGCCCGGCGAAAGCCGGAUUAAUACCGCAUACGACCUGAGGGUGAAAGCGGGGGAUCGCAAGACCUCGCGCAAUUGGAGCGGCCGAUGUCAGAUUAGCUAGUUGGCGGGGUAAGAGCCCACCAAGGCGACGAUCUGUAGCUGGUCUGAGAGGACGACCAGCCACACUGGGACUGAGACACGGCCCAGACUCCUACGGGAGGCAGCAGUGGGGAAUUUUGGACAAUGGGCGCAAGCCUGAUCCAGCCAUGCCGCGUGUGGGAAGAAGGCCUUCGGGUUGUAAACCACUUUUGUCAGGGAAGAAACGGCUCUUACUAAUAUUAGGAACUAAUGACGGUACCUAAGAAUA
rnacentral:rRNA from 1 species